rnacentral:lncRNA from 1 species
UGAACUACGAAAAUAAUGUCAUAACAAACUUGAUGUGGCUUCAGUUGAAAUAUAAGGAAAAAAAAUAUAUAUAGAAUUAAGUAGUAGAAUUACAAUUGCCCUCAGGAAGCGCCUUCAAGCUCAUGAAAUACGAUAAUAUUAAGACAUGUACAUAUUGUAAAUGAAUAAAAAAAAAAUGUAAGGCGAAAGCAGUGAAUGAAAACGUAAUUAUCAAAUGCAACACUCUCACGAGUAAGCAGCAGGGCAAAUACGCCAAAAGUGUGAUAACCCAAUUAAUAAUGUGUUUCCCCUAGUCGAGCGCUUCACAAAGAUGAAUAGUGAGAUGACGUGUAAAGUCCCCGACUCAGGGAAACACAGAGUUUAAAAUGGCCAUGAUUGAAGCAAAAUGAAUCUCUGUUCCAGAUUUCUGGUGAUACUAACAAUCUUCAUAACUGGAAACGGGCUACAAAUCAAGAACGAUCUAAACACGGGCAUUGUGUUUCUAUUGGAUAAAACAUUCAUCCUCUCAGGGAAUGCGUGGACGCUAACGUUGGAUAUAGAUCUCGACAGAUACAGGAUGACCAUUAAUGAUUUACAUGAACAUAAAAAAAAGUUCGUGGAAAAUCAAUGGUUAAGCGACCAUCAAGACAUCUUGGCAAGCCACGUGAUUGCGGAAGGUAGUGAAGCGCUUAUCACAUUGCAGGAACUGGAUGAUGAAAUCCAGGCAUUUAAGGGAGAGCCGGAACAAUCAUUACUACCAGCUAGAGCGAGGAGAGGACUCUUCGACUUCAUCGGUCUGGGACUGCAUUUCUUAACAGGGACGGCAGUGAACAGCCAAGUUACAGACUUACACAAAAAAAUCAAUGCAAUCGGCGAAAUCCAAAAGGACAUACAUCAUGAUCUGUUUCAACAAAUUUCUAUUGUUAAAAAUAUGCACUCUUUCGAAAACGAGAGCAGAGAAAUAAUCAAAAACAUUGUAAAUGUCACAGGGAAUAUUGAGAAGCAAUUUACGGCCUUCGAAAAUAGAUUAGCAAACGAUACAGCCUUUAGACUAAACUCACUAAAUAAAUUCCUAAAUUUAAGUUUCCUUAUGAAACAAGUGCACUUGCAAAUUUCGAAAUUACAAGACAAAAUAUUCCAUCUCAAGCUAGCAUUCUACAGCGCCGUAAACGGGCAAUUAACAGAAUUCAUUAUCCCUCAGAAAGUCUUACUAAAAAAUCUACAGGAAAUAGAGAAUAAAUUACCGCCCAGAUUUCAGAUGGUCCUGCCUCUCAAUAUUCAUGACAUCAGUAAAUACUAUAACUUGCUUACGGCCCAGGCUGUAGUUGCCAAUAGCACAGUCAGAGUAUUCAUCCACAUACCCUUAAAAACACAAGAUCGUACUUUCGAUCUAUACAAAAUAGAACCUCUGCCUGUUAACAUUAGAAACACAAACUUUUCUGCAUAUAUAAAACCCCCGUACCCAUAUGUUGCCAUUUCAACAGAUAAAGAAACAUAUCUCCCACUAUACGCCGAAGAUUUGAAAACUUGUACAGAGAAAGUAGUUAACAUUUGCCCGAAUAAUAUACCGGUUAGGACAAUUCAGCCAAAAACCUGUCUCGGUGCAUUAAUAACAAAUUCAACGCAGAAUGUAGUACAUUACUGCGAAAGAAUCAUUACAGCACGAGAUAGGCCAGCGAGUUUUUAUAAACCCGAAAAUUCACAAUAUUGGAUAUAUAGCGUCCCAAAGACUAUAAAUGCCAAUCUAAAAUGUUACGACAGGGGAGAAAUAAUAGGGUCACCAAGAAACUUAUCAGGGAACAAUUAUAUAUCCAUCCCAAAAGACUGCUCCUUGGUCUCAGAUUCCUUUAGAGUAGACUCGACGGAACAAUAUGCUUCAAGAAUUUCAGCAGAUAAAGAGAGCCACUUUAUACCCGAUUUAAACUAUUUCAUCCAUGAAAUUGACCUAAGCUUCUUGAAAACGACAAGCCAAGACAAAAACUUGCAAACGCAAAUGCUAGAACUGGUCAAAAAUACAAAAAAUUUAGAUAAAACAUUUCCAAAUGGGAUGGAAAUAAACAAAUUAAUGACACAUUUAGAGGGAAUAAUGGAUCCAACUGCUAGCGUCACAUACAAAACCCAUUCCUGGCAGAUAAUUUUAUUUAUAAUAUUAGUAACAAUAUGUGUCAUCAUGCUGGGAUACGUCUGGCAUAUGUCAACCAGGCAGUACACUUCAGAUGUGAGGAGAAUAGUGAAUUAUAGACCGGCGGAACAAGAGCUGCAAGUCUUGACGCCCGGGAUAAAUUCCGCCACAGGGGAAAUGAAUCCGACAAUUUAAGAUUCGCGGAAAUAUAAGUUGAUUCACGGAAACAUGAUUUCCAAAAAUUUUAUUUUAUUUUUUUUGUCAUGACAUAAAAUUCAACCAUCACUCAUGGCACUAAAUUUCUUUAUACGCGUAGGUUAAGGUUCAAUUUAUACAAAAUUAUUAGGUGUUGGGAACCAGCAGGACUCUGAAAGAAGAAAAACUUUCGCUUUUCUUAUGUCAUCCGCUUAUGUAUAAAUACUAUAGGGAUU